GAUCUAGCUUGGUCUAGGUUGGUCUAGGUUGGUCUAGGUUAGUCUAGGUUAGUCUAGGUUGGUCUAGGUUAGUCUAGGUUGGUCUAGGUUGGUCUAGGUUAGUCUAGGUUGGUCUAGGUUAGUCUAGGUUGGUCUAGGUUGGUCUAGCUUGAUUAUGUUGGUCUAGGUUGGUCUAGGUUGGUCUAGGUUGGUCUAGGUUGGUCUAGGUUAGUCUAGGUUGGUCUAGGUUGGUCUAGGUUAGUCUAGGUUGGUCUAGGUUGAUUAUGUUGGUCUAGGUUGGUCUAGGUUAGUCUAGGUUGGUCUAGGUUGAUUAUGUUGAUCUAGGUUGGUCUAGGUUGGUUAUGUUGGUCUAGGUUGGUCUAGGUUGGUCUAGGUUGAUCUAGGUUGAUUAUGUUGGUCUAGGUUGGUCUAGGUUGGUCUAGGUUAGUCUAGGUUGGUCUAGGUUGGUCUAGGUUGGUCUGGGUUGGUCUAGGUUGGUUAUGUUGGUCUAGGUUGGUCUAGGUUGAUCUAGGCUUGUCUAGGUUGGUCUAGGUUGGUUAUGUUGAUCUAGGUUGGUCUAGGUUGGUCUAGGUUGGUCUAGGUUAGUCUAGGUUGGUCUAGGUUGGUCUAGGUUAGUCUAGGUUGGUCUAGGUUGGUCUAGGUUAGUCUAGGUUGGUCUAGGUUGGUCUAGCUUGAUUAUGUUGGUCUAGGUUGGUCUAGGUUGGUCUAGGUUGGUCUAGGUUGAUUAUGCUGGUCUAGGUUGGUCUAGUUUGGUCUAGGUUCGUCUAGGUUGAUUAUGUUGAUCUAUGUUGGUCUAGGUUGGUCUAGGUUGAUCUAGGUUAGUCUAGGUUGGUCUAGGUUGGUCUAGGUUGGUCUGGGUUGGUCUAGGUUGGUCUAGGUUGGUCUAGGUUGAUUAUGUUGGUCUAGGUUGGUUAUGUUGAUCUAGGUUGGUCUAGGUUGAUUAUGUUGGUCUAGGUUGGUCUAGGUUGGUCUAGGCUUGUCUAGGUUGGUCUAGGUUGGUUAUGUUGAUCUAGGUUGGUCUAGGUUGGUCUAGGUUGGUCUAGGUUGAUCUAGGUUGAUCUAGGUUUGUCUCGGUU
rnacentral:lncRNA from 1 species